UGGGGAAUUUUGGACAAUGGGGGCAACCCUGAUCCAGCGACGCCGCGUGGAGGACGAAGGUCUUCGGAUUGUAAACUCCUUUUAGAGGGGAUGAACGACCUGGUGAAUAACCAGGCCUGACAGUACUCUUUGAAUAAGCCACGGCUAACUACGUGCCAGCAGCCGCGGUAAUACGUAGGUGGCAAGCGUUACUCGGAAUCACUAGGCGUAAAGCGCAGGUAGGCGGUUCGGUAAGUCUUUUGUGAAAGCUCCUGGCUCAACUGGGAGAGGUCAAAGGAAACUACCGGGCUAGAGUGUGGUAGGGGAUACUGGAAUUCCUGGUGUAGCGGUGAAAUGCGUAGAUAUCAGGAGGAAUACCUAUGGCGAAAGCAGGUAUCUGGGCCAUCACUGACGCUGAGCUGCGAAAGCUAGGGGAGCAAACAGGAUUAGAUACCCCCGUAGUCC
rnacentral:rRNA from 1 species